CAGUCGCCACGGUAAUACGUAGGUGGCAAACGUUGUCCGGAAUUAUUGGGCGUAAAGGGCUCGCAGGCGGUUUCUUAAGUCUGAUGUGAAAGCCCCCGGCUUAACCGGGGAGGGUCAUUGGAAACUGGGAAACUUGAGUGCAGAAGAGGAGAGUGGAAUUCCACGUGUAGCGGUGAAAUGCGUAGAGAUGUGGAGGAACACCAGUGGCGAAGGCGACUCUCUGGUCUGUAACUGACGCUGAGGAGCGAAAGCGUAGGGAGCGAACGGGAUUAGAUACCCCUGUAGUCCCUGUCUCUUAUAC
rnacentral:rRNA from 1 species